CACGUAGGGGGCAAGCGUUGUCCGGAUUUAUUGGGCGUUAAAGAGCUCGUAGGUGGUUCGGUAAGUCAGGUUGUGAAACCUCCAGGCUCAACCCUGGAGACGCCACUUGAUACUGCUGUGGACUGGAGUCCGGUAGGGGAGCGUGGAAUUCCUGGUGUGGCGGUGAAAAUGCGCAGAUAUCAGGAGGAACACCAGCGGGCGAAGGCGGCGCUCUGGGCCGGUACUGACACUGGAGGAGCGAAAGCGUGGGUAGCAAACAGG
rnacentral:rRNA from 1 species